UACGUAGGGUGCAAGCGUUGUCCGGAAUUAUUGGGCGUAAAGAGCUCGUAGGCGGUCUGUCGCGUCGGUCGUGAAAACCUGCAGCUUAACUGUGGGCGUGCGGUCGAUACGGGCAUGACUGGAGUUCGGCAGGGGAGACUGGAAUUCCUGGUGUAGCGGUGAAAUGCGCAGAUAUCAGGAGGAACACCGGUGGCGAAGGCGGGUCUCUGGGCCGAUACUGACGCUGAGGAGCGAAAGCGUGGGGAGCGAACAGG
rnacentral:rRNA from 1 species